rnacentral:misc_RNA from 1 species
AACGCUAUUAUUAGAACAGUUUCUGUACUAUAUUGGUAUGAGAAGCUCCCAGUAGCAGCUGGGCCAACAGACGCAUUGUGCUGUUGGUUCCUGCCGCAUACUGCGGGAAUCUGGAAGGUGGGGUCGGAUGACC